rnacentral:rRNA from 1 species
UACGAAGGGGGCUAGCGUUGCUCGGAAUUACUGGGCGUAAAGCGCACGUAGGCGGUCUUUUAAGUCGGGGGUGAAAUCCUGGAGCUCAACUCCAGAACUGCCUUCGAUACUGGAAGACUUGAGUCCGGGAGAGGUGAGUGGAACUGCGAGUGUAGAGGUGAAAUUCGUAGAUAUUCGCAAGAACACCAGUGGCGAAGGCGGCUCACUGGCCCGGUACUGACGCUGAGGUGCGAAAGCAUGGGGAGCGAACAGG